AAAAGCAGCCGUGGUUCUGCCAAACAGUACGAGACAUCUGAAAGAAAGCUUACUCCUUCAAUACAAAAUAAGGCAGCCUGCAAAGUGCAAUGUUCUUGAUAGUUUGAUUCCAUGAGCGUGAUUGUAAUGGAAUCACAUGUCUGAGUAUAACAAAUUCAACUAGAGCAGCUACUAAUCAUGUCCUGGCCACCCAUUAUAUCAAUUCAGAUAGUGCAGUACAAAUUCCUAUAUUGCUUCAGCAAUACCAAUCUGAUUCAUGAAAACCAGUGCAUUCAAUUUUAACCUUAAACUGCUGGAAGGAAGGUCUCGUUUUGGAGUACAUUCACAAGCAUCUUUUUUUUUCCUCAUCUUUCUUAUUUGUAGUUAUUA
rnacentral:lncRNA from 1 species